UACGUAGGGGGCAAGCGUUUGUCCGGAUUUAUUGGGCGUAAAGAGCGUGUAGGCGGCUAGAUAGGUCCGUUGUGAAAACUCGAGGCUCAACCUCGAGACGCCGAUGGAAACCAUCUAGCUAGAGUCCGGAAGAGGAGAAUGGAAUUCCUGGUGUAGCGGUGAAAUGCGCAGAUAUCAGGAAGAACACCCGUGGCUAAGGCGGUUCUCUAGUACGGUACUGACGCUGAGACGCGAAAGCGUGGGGAGCGAACAGG
rnacentral:rRNA from 1 species